rnacentral:rRNA from 1 species
UAGGGAAUCUUCCACAAUGGACGAAAGUCUGAUGGAGCAACGCCGCGUGAGUGAAGAAGGGUUUUCGGCUCGUAAAACUCUGUUGUUAAAGAAGAACAUAUCUGAGAGUAACUGUUCAGGUAUUGACGGUAUUUAACCAGAAAGCCACGGCUAACUACGUGCCAG